GGCGUGUUUUUGCGAUGCAAUUUUCAGUAAUUAGUUUUCUGAAUUGUUUGCUGUUGUUUGCUACUUGGUGGAUUACUCGUCAAAACGUUUUAUUUGUUGUAUAAUAUUUUUUGUUACAUAAAAUUGAUGGAAUGAUUGAAUGAUAGUCCUUAUCAGUAGAUUAUUAGUAACCGAAAACAGUAAACAAUGUCGCUAAAACAGUUUGUUCACUAAACUAGGAACCUGGUUACUCAAAAUUGCAUCGCCAAAACACACCUAUUUCUGAAUAUCUGAAUGGGUAAUCUAAACAAAAAUUAUAGGUAUCUACCUGAUUAAAUUUUAGCGAGUGGCAAUUUUAAUAAAACAAUUUAAUCACUGUAAUAUUUUAUGAUCAUAAAAUUCGUUUAGAUAUUUACCAAAUUAAAAGUAAUAAUUAAAUAUUUUAUUCAUACAAAACAAUUUUGUGGCCGACUGCAUGAUUCAGUCAUAGGCUCGGCCAAUUUACUAACUCAUCUAAAUUCAUUGUCUGAAUGUUACACUAAAUGAUGAAUCAAACUUUUGUACCUAAUCAUAAUAAAAC